CCUACUGAGAAACUACUGUUUGAUACGUGGCAAAAAAUAGAAAGCCUCCAUUGACCGCCUAGACGUCGUGGCGCUCGCUCGCGGAAGCUUGGGGCGGUGGAGCAGGAGAAAAAGGAGGUGAGGAGACGAAUGAGGAUGUGUGGGGAUGAGGAGUGGAGGCCACGGAUGAGGGAGAAGGUGGCGAAGGCCCCGGAGAGGUGGCCUUGGGUGGAUUGCGAAUUGACAGAGUCUAUUAAGGGAGUUGCGAUACGAAGCUCUCAAAAACUCAACGGAUCAACUCGAACUGCUUCAACUCGCACAAUACCAUAUGCUUGAGACAAAACCACAUACCUCUGAAAAGAGAGAGAAAUGAAAAGAAGAAGUCAAAAGAUAGGGAAAAAAAAUUAAGAUGAAGCUCUCAAAACCUCAAGGGACCAACUCACACCAUCACAACUUCCCAUAUGCUUGAAACAAAACCCCAACUGGAACUUAAGAAACCCCUCCGAUCUUGCUCAAAUGCUCUCCUUCCUACAGAUCUCCAAAAAAGAGAAAGAAACAAAAAGAAAAAUAAGCCAAAAAAAAAAUCAAUUUAUGUGAGGGGCUUGGAGUUUUCAAAACCUUUUGAUUUUUUUCCAUUCUCAGGUGUCUCAAUCGGGUGGGAGGCUUGGAGCAGCUGAAUAGGGAGGGUUAGACGAUGCAAAAGGCUUAUCCUUUAAUUUUUUCAAUUUUUCUUUUGUUUUUGUUGAUUUUUCUUAUGUUUCGUCGUGCUUCCUCUGUAUUUUUUCUAUUUCGGAAGAGCUGCGGGGGCACUGACGUGAGGCUUGGAGCAUCUGCACAGAGCAGGCAUGGAAGUGGCUUGCAUUUUGUGUUGGGUAUUUAUUAUCCAAUAUUUUCUCCGGA
rnacentral:lncRNA from 1 species